GUUUUUUUACAUGUUUAACUGCUAUAUCAUGUUCACAUGUUUGCAUUCAUCAUCUUUUUCAAUACAGAUUUAAUAUUAUCAUAAAAAACACUGAAGUAAGAAAGUGCAUAUCAUGAAAGCUUUUAUCUUAAUAUUUCAUCUAUUUUUCCCUCUCCUUUUUAUUCCUGACUUCCUGUUGGGGAUGACUUUAUUUAAAUACACAUUUGCCUACUCUCGAUGAAAUUGAAGUUUAUAAAUUGCUCAACCUUCAAUUUUGGCAAGCAGCUUUGGACAAAAUUAUGCUGUUGCUAAUCCUUUUAGGAGAAACAAUACAGAGUUUAAUUGCCAGUGGAUGAUUUGUCUAUUUGUAGCUGGUCACAGC
rnacentral:misc_RNA from 1 species